UUAAUAAAUAAAAAAAUUAUUAUAUUCAAUUAUAUCUCAUGAAUUAUAAAAAACCUCUAUCCAUUCACAUUCUCUAUUUAAGUAACAUGUCCCUUCAACUUUCUUCUAUCAAAUUCUUAUGACUUGAACAAUCUAUAUAUAGGCAAUGGUUUAUUCCGAAAAUAGCAUUGAACUUUGUAGCCAUGGUUGAACGCAAAAGAAGAAAAUUAAAAGUUUUGGAAGAAGAAGAUUGAAGGAUGAUACACAGAAAAUGGAGUUUGUUAACUAGCCUCGCUGCUAUUCUUGGCGAAAUCAUCUGUACUAUUGUCAUUGCCAUUUCAUCUUCGUCCAAAAUGAUCCAUCCAAGUAAAAUACUAGAUGUGUGAUUCUCUGGUUUAAGGUUGUGAUGUUUGCUCCACCUUUUUCGCAAGAUUGUAUGCAAAUAAUUUUAGUGAAUAUGACAAGCCUUCUGAAUCUAAAUAAAUAGUGGAAUAUUGUUCAGAAAAGAAAGAAGUAUUCAUUGGGCAGAAGAGCAGACAGAAAAGUUAUUGUUCUUUGGAAAGAAAAAUCAAUUUAACAAGCUGAACAAUUUUUAUGUUUA